rnacentral:rRNA from 1 species
UACGUAGGGGCCAAGCGUUGUCCGGAAUUAUUGGGCGUAAAGAGCUCGUAGGCGGUUUGUCGCGUCUGCUGUGAAAACUCGGGGCUCAACUCCGAGCUUGCAGUGGGUACGGGCAGACUAGAGUGCGGUAGGGGAGACUGGAAUUCCUGGUGUAGCGGUGAAAUGCGCAGAUAUCAGGAGGAACACCGGUGGCGAAGGCGGGUCUCUGGGCCGAUACUGACGCUGAGGAGCGAAAGCGUGGGGAGCGAACAGG